GACGAACGCUGGCGGCGUGCCUAAUACAUGCAAGUUGAGCGAUGAAGAUUGGUGCUUGCACCAAUUUGAAGAGCAGCGAACGGGUGAGUAAAGCGUGGGGAAUCUGCCUUUGAGCGGGGGACAACAUUUGGAAACGAAUGCUAAUACCGCAUAACAACUUUAAACAUAAGUUUUAAGUUUGAAAGAUGCAAUUGCAUCACUCAAAGAUGAUCCCGCGUUGUAUUAGCUAGUUGGUGAGGUAAAGGCUCACCAAGGCGAUGAUACAUAGCCGACCUGAGAGGGUGAUCGGCCACAUUGGGACUGAGACACGGCCCAAACUCCUACGGGAGGCAGCAGUAGGGAAUCUUCGGCAAUGGACGAAAGUCUGACCGAGCAACGUCGCGUGAGUGAAGAAGGUUUUCGGAUCGUAAAACUCUGUUGGUAGAGAAGAACGUUGGUGAGAGUGGAAAGCUCAUCAAGUGACGGUAACUACCCAGAAAGGGACGGCUAACUACGUG
rnacentral:rRNA from 1 species